rnacentral:lncRNA from 1 species
GCUUUCAAACACUUAAACCAAAAAGUGUGUUUUUGGUCCAACGUAAUAACACCAAAAUGGAUGAGAAGCAGGGACCAACUUCUGAUGAUGUCCCAACUGGGGAGGUAACGUCAACCACAGUUACAGAGGGUGAUGUUGUCAAGAUGCCAACAGAUGUGGCCAUCACUAUGGAUGCUAUUCCCAAUGAAGAUGAGGAGGACAAAUCCAAAGGUCUUGACCCACAAGAUAACCAUUCUACCAGCACCUCUGACG